rnacentral:rRNA from 1 species
CUCGUGUCGUGAGAUGUUCGGGUUAAGUCCCGCAACGAGCGCAACCCCCGCCUUUAGUUGCUACCAUUCAGUUGAGCACUCUAAAGGGACCGCCGGCGUUAAGCCGGAGGAAGGUGGGGAUGACGUCAAGUCCUCAUGGCCCUUAUGUCCAGGGCUACACACGUGCUACAAUGGGCGGUACAGAGGGUUGCCAACCCGCGAGGGGGAGCCAAUCCCAGAAAGCCGUCCUCAGUUCAGAUUGGAGUCUGCAACUCGACUCCAUGAAGGUGGAAUCGCUAGUAAUCGCGGAUCAGCAUGCCGCGGUGAAUACGUUCCCGGGCCUU